rnacentral:rRNA from 1 species
GACGAACGCUGGCGGCGUGCUUAACACAUGCAAGUCGAACGGAAAGGCCUCUUUCGGGGGGUACUCGAGUGGCGAACGGGUGAGUAACACGUGAGUAACCUGCCCUUGACUUUGGGAUAACUUCAGUAAACUGGGGCUAAUACCGGAUAGGAGCUCCUGCUGCAUGGUGGGGGUUGGAAAGUUUCGGCGGUUGGGGAUGGACUCGCGGCUUAUCAGCUUGUUGGUGGGGUAGUGGUUUACCAAGGCUUUGACGGGUAGCCGGCCUGAGAGGGUGACCGGCCACAUUGGGACUGAGAGACGGCCCAGACUCCUACGGGAGGCAGAAGUGGGGAAGAUUGCACAAGGGGUGGAAGCCUGAUGCAGCAACGCCGUGGGCGGGAGGACGGCCUUCGGGUUGGAAUCCGCUUUCGCUCAUGACGAAGCUUUGUGUGACGGUAGUGGGUAAAGAAGCACCGGCUAACUACGUG